UACCAACAGCUACGACCUGACUCCUGUCAGAUACGCCGAGCGACUUGUCCCAUCCCCCUCCACGCGGAAAUAUCUCUGCCUGCUUCCGCUCCAUCUUCUCUCUUCCUGAAAGCUUUAUCUGAGAUAAGCCAUGAUUUCCCAGAGUUCGUCGCUCCUCCCAGCACCUUCCCCUUCGGCCUCCACCGGCAGUCUCAGAUCGGCCAUCAAUCGACCAGCGACCUCGAGCGAUUUUGCAUCAAUUCUCCGGCGGUCCUGAUCAUAUUCUACAAAGAUCCACUACCAUGGAUCUGAUUCUGCGACGAUCUAAUGAUGGGCUCUAUGGAGGAUUCAAACGACGAGGAGUAUGAAACAUGAUCUCCCAUCAUAAGACCAAUGAAGAAACUGGCUAAUGCUCUGAACAGUAUGAAGAGAAUGAACAGAAUGAUGAAAACAUUUUCUCUUCUUUGAGUUAAAUGGACUCUAAGGAAGUUUUGUCAAAAAAUAGUUGUCCAAUCGAGUAGGUACAAUAGGAAUGCUAGGUUGAAUAUUUCAAUGCCCGAAUGCGGAUGCUACUUAUGGCUGCAAUUUUUCACAUUAUAUCCCCGUCAUUUAAGCCAUGUAGGAAUUGAAAUAUAAUGUUUACGGCCAAUCGUGGCUAGAUCUAUGGUCUUUAAGUGAAAUAUUAGUUGCCCUUGGGUGUUUCACUAA